rnacentral:rRNA from 1 species
AUUGAACGCUGGCGGCAGGCCUAACACAUGCAAGUCGAGCGGAGCGGCGGAGGGGGAAGUGAUGCCUAUGAAUCUGCCUGGGCGUGGGGGAUAACGUCCGGAAACGGGCGCUAAUACCGCAUACUAUCAGAUUCGGCUAUGUCGGAUUAGCUAGUUGGUGGGGUAAAGGCCUACCAAGGCGACGAUCCGUAACUGGUCUGAGAGGAUGAUCAGUCACACUGGAACUGAGACACGGUCCAGACUCCUACGGGAGGCAGCAGUGGGGAAUAUUGGACAAUGGGCGAAAGCCUGAUCCAGCCAUGCCGCGUGUGUGAAGAAGGUCUUCGGAUUGUAAAGUACUUUAAGUUGGGAGGCGUUACCAACAGAAUAAGCACCGGCUAACUCCGUGCCAGCAGCCGCGGUAAUUC